CCUACGGGAGGCAGCAGUGAGGAAUAUUGGUCAAUGGGCGAGAGCCUGAACCAGCGAAGUCGCGUGAGGGAUGAAGGAUCUAUGGUUUGUAAACUUCUUUUAUAUGGGAGUAAAGUGAGGAACGUGUUCCUUUUUGUAUGUACCAUAUGAAUAAGCAUCGGCUAACUCCGUGCCAGCAGCCGCGGUAAUACGGAGGAUGCGAGCGUUAUCCGGAUGUAUUGGGGUUAGAGGGUGCGUAGGUGGUGAAUUCAGUCAACGGUGAAAGUUUGGGGCUCAACCAUUAAAUUCACGUGGAAACUGCUUGACUUGAGUAUAGUUGAGGUAGGCGGAAUGCGUGGUGUAGCGGUGAAAUGCAUAGAUAUCACGCAGAACUCCGAUUGCGAAGGCAGCUUACUAAGCUAUAACUGACACUGAAGCACGAAAGCGUGGGGAUCGAACAGGAUUAGAUACCCGGGUAGUC
rnacentral:rRNA from 1 species